rnacentral:rRNA from 1 species
GUAUCCUGUCUGAAUAUGGGGGGACCAUCCUCCAAGGCUAAAUACUCCUGACUGACCGAUAGUGAACCAGUACCGUGAGGGAAAGGCGAAAAGAACCCCGGCGAGGGGAGUGAAAAAGAACCUGAAACCGUGUACGUACAAGCAGUGGGAGCCUCUUAAUGGGGUGACUGCGUACCUUUUGUAUAAUGGGUCAGCGACUUAUAUUCUGUAGCAAGGUUAACCGAAUAGGGGAGCCGAAGGGAAACCGAGUCUUAACUGGGCGUUAAGUUGCAGGGUAUAGACCCGAAACCCGGUGAUCUAGCCAUGGGCAGGUUGAAGGUUGGGUAACACUAACUGGAGGACCGAACCGACUAAUGUUGAAAAAUUAGCGGAUGACUUGUGGCUGGGGGUGAAAGGCCAAUCAAACCGGGAGAUAGCUGGUUCUCCCCGAAAGCUAUUUAGGUAGCGCCUCGUGAAUUCAUCUCCGGGGGUAGAGCACUGUUUCGGCAAGGGGGUCAUCCCGACUUACCAACCCGAUGCAAACUGCGAAUACCGGAGAAUGUUAUCACGGGAGACACACGGCGGGUGCUAACGUCCGUCGUGAAGAGGGAAACAACCCAGACCGCCAGCUAAGGUCCCAAAGUCAUGGUUAAGUGGGAAACGAUGUGGGAAGGCCCAGACAGCCAGGAUGUUGGCUUAGAAGCAGCCAUCAUUUAAAGAAAGCGUAAUAGCUCACUGGUCGAGUCGGCCUGCGCGGAAGAUGUAACGGGGCUAAACCAUGCACCGAAGCUGCGGCAGCGACACUAUGUGUUGUUGGGUAGGGGAGCGUUCUGUAAGCCUGUGAAGGUGGCCUGUGAGGGUUGCUGGAGGUAUCAGAAGUGCGAAUGCUGACAUAAGUAACGAUAAAGCGGGUGAAAAGCCCGCUCGCCGGAAGACCAAGGGUUCCUGUCCAACGUUAAUCGGGGCAGGGUGAGUCGACCCCUAAGGCGAGGCCGAAAGGCGUAGUCGAUGGGAAACAGGUUAAUAUUCCUGUACUUGGUGUUACUGCGAAGGGGGGACGGAGAAGGCUAUGUUGGCCGGGCGACGGUUGUCCCGGUUUAAGCGUGUAGGCUGGUUUUCCAGGCAAAUCCGGAAAACCAAGGCUGAGGCGUGAUGACGAGGCACUACGGUGCUGAAGCGACAAAUGCCCUGCUUCCAGGAAAA